CUUUUCCAAUGCAGAAGCUACCUCUCCAUCGCCGACUGUGUCGCCUGCUUCGACGUCGCUGCCCCUCAAAUUUUCAGCUGCGCCGCCGGGGACCUCGGUGGCCAUGUCGUCUACGACGGGUGCUACCUCAGGUACGACAUUAGUAGCGCUUUCUUUGGCGACGCGACCCAGUCCGUGAAUAGUGCAUCAUGUGGGAAUCAAACUACUGAAGAACCAGCUACUGUAUUCACCUCAGCUGUGCAUCAAGUGCUCAUGAAUCUGCAAACAGCAACACCCAGAAUCACUGCCUUCUCUGCAGCCACAAAGACGCAAGUGUCUGAUAAUGGUGCAACCAUUUAUGCAUUUGCUCAAUGUAUUCAAACUAUCACAUCAAGUAAGUGCGAGGAUUGCUUGAAUGCUCAGUACAACAAUAUGCAGACUUGGCUUCCCAAUUCAGAUGGUUCAAGCAAUAAGGGAGCCAUUAUAGGUGGGGUUGUUGGAAGCGUGGUAGCUCUUGCUUUGAUCUUUAUUGCAUUAUUUGUCUUGAUUAGACAACGAAGAAAAAGGCCUCAGAGGGUUCCAAGAGGAGACAUAAUUGGAGCGAGCAAGUUGAAAGGCCCAACUGUUUACAAUUAUAAGGAUUUGAAGACUGCAACCAAGAAUUUCAGUCAAGAAAAUAAACUAGGAGAAGGAGGAUUUGGUGUUGUGUAUAAGGGCACUUUGAAGAAUGGAAAAGAAGUUGCAGUCAAGAAAUUAACAUUUCGCCACUUAUUCACAAGGAUGGAGGAGGACUUUGAAAGUGAAGUGAAGCUUAUAAAUGAUGUUCAUCAUCGGAAUCUUGUUUGACUUUUGGGAUAUUGUAUUCAUGGCUUGUUUAUGAGUACAUGAAAAAUAGCAGUCUUGACAUAUUCUUGUUCGAAAUGAUCAGUGGUCAAAGAAGUGAAGAAUUGAAGAUCCAUGGCAAUGAUGAAGGCGAGUUCCUCCUUCAAAAAGCUUGGAAACUAUAUGAGAGAGGAAUCCAUUCAGAGCUGUAGAAGAAGUGAAGAAAGUCAUAGAGAUUGGUUUGCUUUGCACUCAAGCACAUGCUGACAUAAAGCCAACGAUGUCAGAAGUAGUUGUUUUGCUUCAAAACAUGGCCUUACCAGAGAACAUAAAACCCACCAUGCCUCUCUUGAUUGAAGCUACUUAAAUGACCAAUUAAUGGAUACCUACCUACCUCUGCUGCUUCCUUUACAUCCAAUACUAUCAAUGUUGCUCCCACCCUCUAUAGAAAAGUGCGGGUUACUAAUGUGACUUUGGAGUCCUAAUUACGAAGAAAAAUGGAAAGUGAUCAUUGUUCUUCAUUCCAUUCUUCAAUAUUUGUGUUAAUU